UUUGAGCCCGNUUUGGAUCCGAUUUAGCCUGCUAGUCGCGGGACUCAGACUCCCGGCGAAUAGCUCCGUAACACGUGGCCAAACUACCCACCAGAGAGUGAUAAUCUCGGGAAACUGAGGCUAAUAACUCACAGUGCUUCCGUGCUGGAAUGCAGGAAGUGUGAAAUGCUCCGGCGCUGGUGGAUGUGGCUGCGGCCGAUUAGGUAGACGGUGGGGUAACGGCCCACCGUGCCGAUAAUCGGUACGGGUUGUGAGAGCAAGAACCCGGAGACGGAAUCUGAGACAAGAUUCCGGGCCCUACGGGGCGCAGCAGGCGCGAAACCUUUACACUGCACGCCAGUGCGAUAGGGGGACUCCAAGUGCGAGGGCAUAUCGUCCUCGCUUUUCGUGACCGUAAGGUGGUCACGGAAUAAGAGCUGGGCAAGACCGGUGCCAGCCGCCGCGGUAAUACCGGCAGCUCGAGUGAUGGCCGAUUUUAUUGAGCCUAAAGCGUCCGUAGCUGGCCACGAAGGUCCAUCGGGAAAUCCAUCCGCUCAACGGAUGGGCCGUCCGGUGGAAACCGCGUGGCUUGGGACCGGAAGAUCCGAGGGGUACGUCCGGGGUAGGAGUGAAACCCCGUAAUCCUGGACGGACCACCGAUGGCNAAAGCACCUUGGAANGGACGGAUCCCGACAGUGAAGGGACGAA
rnacentral:rRNA from 1 species